rnacentral:rRNA from 1 species
GUGAGGAAUAUUGGACAAUGGGCGCAAGCCUGAUCCAGCCAUGCCGCGUGCAGGAAGACGCAUCUAUGGUGUGUAAACUGCUUUUGUACGGGAAGAAACACUCCCUCGUGAGGGAGCUUGACGGUACCGUAAGAAUAAGGAUCAGCUAACUCCGUGCCAGCAGCCGCGGUAAUACGGAGGAUCCAAGCGUUAUCCGGAAUCAUUGGGUUUAAAGGGUCCGUAGGCGGUUUAAUAAGUCAGUGGUGCAAGCCCAUCGCUCAACGAUGGAACGGCCAUUGAUACUGUUAGACUUGAAUUACAAGGAAGUAACUAGAAUAUGUAGUGUAGCGGUGAAAUGCUUAGAUAUUACAUGGAAUACCAAUUGCGAAGGCAGGUUACUACUUGUGGAUUGACGCUGAUGGACGAAAGCGUGGGGAGCGAACAGGAUUAGAAACCCUAGUAGUCC